UCCCCGAGACUGGACCGGAUCACUUCCGGUGGGGAAAGUCCCACCUCUUCAGAGCGAGGCCCUUGCGCUCGGGCCGCGCCCUGCUGAGCUAGACGGCUUGGGACUGUUUCUGGUCGGGGCUGUGGCCUUGGCAAAGGGCCUCUCGGAGGACCUCCAGCGCCCUUCCUUUCCGCGCCAGCCCGCAGCUGCUGCUGAUUCUGCUGCUGCUGACAGUCCCACCCCAAAGCCAUUGAAGCCCCUCCUUGUCUCAGCUGCCCUCAGCUCCGCCUGAGUACUUGAUGAGCUCGUUGGCCUGUGCAGGACGGCCAAUAAUUAUCUAACGACCGGAGAACGCCAAACAUCCCUGGACUAGAAGUCGCGAGGAACAUAAAACGGCCAAGAAAGUUUAUUCUCUUUGCUGGCUCAGAAAACAAAAGGAUUGCAAAUAGACUUCACAGGUGCUCCAACUCAGCUUUGCCUCCCUUUGAUUCCAACAAAGCUUCACAGCAGGAAAGCCUUGCUCUAUAAACCAUGAGGUAGGAUGGGAAUGAAUUUUUGAACAUUUAAGAUGAACAUCCAAGGGCAAGUAAGUGGUGUAAAAGAUGCAAGAGCCAUGGAUCUAAUAACAAAAGGAAGGAAACUUGUACUCAUCUCGUACAGUGUGCCAGGUACCUUAUUGGAAAGAA